UUAAUUACAAGCUAUAAAGAGAAUGAAAAAAGGCUACUGGUACUCAAAUGGUACUGGAAGUAAAAAAGAAUAAAUUGAAUAAUAGUUUCAAGUGGUUUACAUUUGGACAAAAAAUUAGACCGUAGUUAAAAGCUGC
rfam:Facklamia hominis CCTG 36813 genomic scaffold supercont1.1, whole genome shotgun sequence.